GCCAGACUCCUACGGGAGGCAGCAGUGGGGAAUAUUGCACAAUGGGGGAAACCCUGAUGCAGCAACGCCGCGUGAGUGAAGAAGGUUUUCGGAUUGUAAAGCUCUGUUAGCAGGGAAGAGGAAGGACGGUACCUGCAGAGGAAGCCACGGCUAACUACGUGCCAGCAGCCGCGGUAAUACGUAGGUGGCGAGCGUUAUCCGGAAUGAUUGGGCGUAAAGGGUGCGUAGGCGGCCUGCUAAGUCUGGAGUGAAAGGUACCGGCUCAACCGGUACAGGCUCUGGAAACUGGCGGGCUAGAGAGCAGGAGAGGGCGGUGGAACUCCAUGUGUAGCGGUAAAAUGCGUAGAUAUAUGGAAGAACACCAGUGGCGAAGGCGGCCGCCUGGCCUGUUACUGCCGCUGAGGCUCGAAAGCGUGGGGAGCAAAUAGGAUUAGAUACCCUUGUAUA
rnacentral:rRNA from 1 species